GGUGUAGGUGGCUUUGUAAGUCAGAUGUGAAAGCCCAGGGCUCAACCCUGGAAGUGCAUUUGAUACUGCUGAGCUUGAGUGCUGGAGAGGCUAUUAGAAUUCCUGGUGUAGUGGUGAAAUACGUAGAUAUCAGGAGGAAUACCGGAGGCGAAGGCGGAUAGCUGGCCAGACACUGACACUCAGACCCGAAAGCGUGGGGAUCAAACA
rnacentral:rRNA from 1 species